UUCCGGUUGAUCCUGCCGGACCUGAUUGCUAUCGGAUUGGUACUAAGCCAUGCGAGUAAGUGUAGCAAUACACUGCAGACGGCUCAGUAACACGUGGUCAAGCUAACCUAUGGACAUGGAUAACCUCGGGAAACUGAGAAUAAACCGCGAUAGAUCAUGAUGCCUGGAAUGGCUCAUGGUCGAAAUAGUUUACUGCCGUAGGAUGCGACUGCGGCCUAUCAGUUUGUUGGUGAGGUAAUGGCCCACCAAGACUACUACAGGUACGGGCUCUGAGAGGAGAAGCCCGGAGAUGGGUACUGAGACACGGACCCAGGCCCUAUGGGGCGCAGCAGGCGAGAAACCUUAGCAAUGUGCGAAAGCACGACUGGGUUAGUCCGAGUGAUUCCUGCUAAAGGAAUCCUUUGCCGGUCCUAAAAGCACCGGUGAAUAAGGGGUGGGCAAGUCUGGUGUCAGCCGCCGCGGUAAUACCAGCACCUCGAGUGAUCAGGACGUUUAUUGGGCCUAAAGCAUCCGUAGCUGGCUUUGCAAGUCUCCGGUUAAAUCAACCUGCUCAACAGAUUGGCCGCAGGAGAUACUACAAGGCUAGGGAGUGGGAGAGGCAGACGGUAUUCGGGGGGUAGGGGUAAAAUCCUCUGAUCCUCUGAGGACCACCAGUGGCGAAGGCGGUCUGCCAGAACACGUUCGACAGUGAGGGAUGAAAGCUGGGGGAGCAAACCGGAUUAGAUACCCGGGUAGUCCCAGCUGUAAACGAUGCAAACUCGGUGAAGCAUUGGCUUAAUGCUAAUGCUGUGCCGCAGGAGGCCGUUAAGUUUGCCGCCUGGGAAGUACGGUCGCAGAUUGAAACUUAAAGGAAUUGGCGGGGGGAGCACACAGGGGUUGAAGCCUGCAGUUCAUGAUUCACGCCUGG
rnacentral:rRNA from 1 species